AAAAUCUUCACGCAAAUCUCGCCUCUCUCUCUCUCACUAGUACACGUUACAAAGAGAAAGAAAAAAGAUGGACAAGGGGCCUCACCCACAGAUUCGUUUCUGAACGUCUCUCUCCAACGAAUUCUCCAUCCAUUACCUCACUCAAAACCCUCGUCCUCACUAUUCACCCUCAGCUCACAGACAAACCCACUCACAUUUCUCAUUCAGAAAUCUCUCUUCACUCUCACGAAAACCCAACAAAACCUUCAUCAAACCUUCACUCCACCGUUAACCUCUCCAUCUACCAAGCAAUCCCUCUUCACUCUCUGAAAUCUUUGGAAAAAUCUCACACGAAAACCACCCCCAACCUCUUCAACACCUUCAAUCUCCCACAAAAACCCUUCGUCAGCCCCAAAUCGCCUCUCUACCAUCGCUAAUCCACCGCCUUCAACUCACCAUCAAAACCCAUUUUUCUCCAUCAACCCUUCAAAUCCGCUCAACCCUAAAUCAACAAACCCUCAUCUCAACCAUAAAUCCACUGUCAAACCCCCAACCUCACUCUCAAAACACCAUCAUCAACCUUCGUUCCUCCACAAACCACCGAAACUCCACCCUCCUCGCUUCAAUCAUCCAUCUUCCAACACCGUGGAAACCAAAUCCUCGCCGCUUCACAUUUCCGACAGCACCGCCAACAACUNNN
rnacentral:lncRNA from 1 species